rnacentral:rRNA from 1 species
GAUGAACGCUGACAGCAUGCUUAACACAUGCAAGUCUUUGGCGAAGCUGUGCUCGCACAGCCUAGCCAAGGCGGACGGGUGAGUAACGCGUAAGGAACUUGCCCUGCAGUCAGGGAUAACAGACGGAAACGACUGAUAAGACCUGGUAAAGUCAGGCGGACUCAUGUCCAGCCUGAUGAAAAGAGAUGCUGCAGGAGAGCCUUGCGUCCUAUUAGCUUGUUGGUGGGGUAACGGCCCACCAAGGCGAUGAUAGGUAGCCGGCCUGAGAGGAUGGACGGCCACAAGGGGACUGAGGUACGGCCCUUACGCCUACGGGAGGCAGCAGUGGGGAAGAUUGGACAAUGGGGGCAAACCUGAUCCAGCAAUUCUGUGGGCACGAUGAAGGUUUUCGGAUUGUAAAGUGCUUUCAGCAGGGAAGAAAAAAAUGACGGUACCUGCAGAAGAAGCGACGGCUAAAUACGUG